AUUUCUAGAAUCACUAACAUGCAUCAUCUGUCGCAUGUCCUUACUACCACGUCAUGUAGCAACAUUCUCUGCACACAGCAAUGACUCUGGCCAAUAGCAAUAAAUGACAGAAUAUAAAUACUAACUUUACAUUCAUUCAGUUGCCCUGUUGUGGUUUCUUGUAUUCCCAAUAGAUCUUUAUACUGUAUUCUAUUUUUCCAAAUUUGAUUUGAC